ACUGAGCGGAGGCGUUUCCGGUGCUUCGCGGUUGCCAUAGAAACCGACGUAAAGAUGGCGACCGUGACGACUUUUCAAUAGAGGAUAAGACCCGGUAAGAGGAGCAGGUUCCCGCCAUCAGGUGUCUGGGACUCAGCAGAGGAGGUCCUCCGUGGCUCCAGCUCGUUGCAGAUUCUCCGGCUUCUCCUCUCCCGCCUUCUGGUCCACCGUUUUCCCCACCGCAGUCUGACCAUUUAUUUUUUAAAAUCUUUUCCUCUUCUAUAGGAGGAGGACUCUCCUUUGGUAGGGAGGUGGACAUCUCCUGAGGACCUCCGCUGAGGGCAGGCUCACAUAGAUGUCUGUAGGGAGCCGUUCUCUUGGAAGUGAAGAAAGAAGAUGAACUAUUAACUUGGAUCCAAGAUCUGCCUGUGGAUCUGCUGUAGAGCUUGUCAACUUUGGAAGCAAGGAAGGAGGAGAGAAUUACACCGGAUCAGUGCAGGUCCAUCUUCAGUGGUAGCUGUGGUGGCCUCGGAGUGGCAGAAGACCAUCUUUUUAUGACAUCAAUCCUUCUGUUGGGGAAAGGGGAUUGACCUAGCAGAGUUCAAGGGGGUGGGGGAGGGUAGUGUGAAAUUUUACGGGUUAUAGCAAAGUCACUGAAUUUCAUUCAUUAAGUCAUUGAACAAAUAGUUACUGAUUGCCUAGUAUGUGUUCGGAGUUACAAUUAGCUGUUAUUAUCUGGUGCACACAUUAUAACAAGAUUUGGAGCAUUUGGUUAGAUGACAGGAGAGAGCCUAAUUUCAGGUGCAGAGUGGAUGAGGGGUGUCUCCCUUGCCUUGCACGAAGUGUGGUCUUCAGGUAAAUACAAUUCGAAUAACAUUGAGAUCCACUUACGUGGUUCUGGGGGCAACAUCAAAGAUACUUUCAUGAAAGGACUUGUCUGAGCUGCUCAUCUCACUAAUCCCAAGUGAGAAAAAUGAGCAGUAGUAAGGAUCACCAAGGCCUUCUCUGAUACUCUGCUGAUUUCCUCCCUUGAGAGGGACACUUAUGUUCCCGGUUGCCCACCAGCCUGGCUGAAAGGCCACUGGUCUAGGGGAGUGUUGGCUACCAAUUUGAUCCCUCGGCCUUGGGCUGCCCCAUCCCAGCCUCCUUUCAAGAGUGGAUGAAAGACAAAUUGGAUUCCAAGGGCACACAAUGGGGCCACAAUGCUAUGAGAUGCUGGUUCUCUGAGAGAAGUAAUUGGAGUAAGAGAACUAGACUGGGGCAAGCCCUCUUGGGAAUGCUCCUGGACCCCUUCUCUUCCAAGUGGUGUGUUCUCUGCAGGCUCUCUGCUCCCCCAAGGCAGCUGCUGCAAGGCAAGGAGGGAACCAGGAGGGAGCCCAGGUGGUAGGUUAGGUCGGCCUCCAGUCUGAACAAAAGGAAGCCUUUGAUUCCCCCAUGAGAUUCCACCCAGUUUACCAAUAUCCACUUUUGCCUGGGGCUUGUUCCAAAGCCCUAACUUCUAAUAAAGAGUGUGCCUUUACCUGCUGUGUCUUCUGUGUAGUGUGUAUCUCAGGACUGGUUUACCAAGCAGUGACAGCUUAAUCCUGCAUCUUCCCUCCAUCCCACUGAGGUGAAGCAAAGUUCAAUCUCAUUCACUAUCAGAGGGCCUCUCCUCUUCCUGCGAGUUAUCCAAGAAUUGGGGGGCUUCUGUGAGGCCUUCAAACCAUCAUGUUAGCCACUGCUACCCUCGUUGUCCACGUCCACAGGGUCCCUUGAGGUGGGCAUCUCUGUGCUCUAGAGUCGGUGGGGCAUGGGUAGGAGGGGCAUCUCUGCCCAGGCCGGGAGCCCUAGUGCCUGGGGUCCACACCCCCUACGUGCACCAAGAAGCCAAUCCCCUGAGGUGCUGUCUCCCUGAGGCCGGCUGAGGUCUCAGAAGUAGAAAUUUGCCUCCUGUCUUUCUGCCUUCCCGGGCACUCUCCCCUCUCUCUACUAUGAUAAUCCUCUCAAGCGGGUCAGGAUUCUGGAAAGCAGCCAGGCUGUAGACUGUGCGUUAACAAAUGUUCCAUGAGCAAAGGGGGUGGAGGCUGGUGACCUGCUUGGUAUAGGGACAGGGAUGAGGGCAGAGAAUGAAAGUGACGGUCACAUGGAAGAGGAGCCCUGGGCAGGAAGGAGACCCUCAGGGGCACCAAACUCAAAGCUGUUUUCUGGGCUGGGCACUGGUUUUGUGGUACUUUUGUGUGUGCUGGUCGCUCCCUGGAAUUUUGGAAAGAUGGGACACAGAUGAGACUUGGGAAUGUUAUGAAGCAUUUUAAAUCCAGUUGUUCUCAAUGUGUGGUUACCGUACCAACAGCAUCAGGAUCACUUGGGGGCUUUCUAGAAAGGCAAAUUAGCUGCUGCUACAUGAGACCUCCAGAGUGAGAAGUUUGGGGGCUGGGGCCCAGCAGGUGUUUCUGAUGCAUGCUGAAGUUUGAGAACCUUUGUUUGAAUCCACAAUGUAAUGUGGGGAAAUCACCCUAGAUCUCACUGUGGUUGCUUCAUUUAGGCCUUCACCCGUAAACUCUGCUGUCCAUUGGAAUGUCCGUAGGUCUGCGCGAAAGCAGACUCAUUCUGGUACACAGCCCAAUAAUACAGGGCUGACUUCGUGAAGACGGUGCUUCUUAGCUCAGGUAGAUACAUGAGACUCAAUGGGCAGCUCCUGUCCAGAGGUGAGAUGAGAAGGCAAAAAGGGACAGGAGCUGGUUGAAUGGACACGGGAAAUCAGGGUGGAAAGGGGGAGUGUGUUGUAUUACAGGGAGAGCAACUGGGGUCACAUAACAACAUGUAUAUAAAUUUUUGUGUGAGAAACUAACCUGAACUGUAAAGUUUCACUUAAAGCACUAUUAAAAAACAAUAGAGGGCUGACUUUUUUUCACAGCCACCUACAUGUUUAGGCCUGAAUCAUUGAGGUUGGCUGUCAAUUUUUCCUUUGUUCUGGGCUGAGCACACGUAAGUAAAGGUGGUAAGUUGUUGUGGGAAGAGCCUGCGAUUUGGAGGCAGAGAGACCUGGGCUGGAUACCUGCUCUUCCACUCACUAGCUGUGUGACCUUGAACAAGUUACUGAAUUUGUCUGAGCCGCAGCGCGUGCUGAUUCCUUUCCCUGACCCUUAGAGUUCUGCUCUGUGAUGUAGGGUAAUGGGUGUAAUAGAUUCUUAGGAUAAUAAAAGCCAGCUUGAGUGCCUACUAAGUGCUUUAAAGUCCAUUAUCCCGUUUGGUGACUGUGACGGUUCUUUCAAGUGUAAGUAUAAUAACUUGUUGCAAUCGUGUUGAUUCUGACUCAUAGUGGGCCUACAGGACAGAGUAGAACUGCCCCAUACGGUUAUCAAGGCUGUAGUCUUUACGGUAACUGAAUGCCGCAUCUUUGUCCAGCAGGGCAUCCAGUGGGUUCAAACCACCAAGCUUUCUAUUAGCAGCCAAGUGCUUAACCACUUGCCAUCAGUGCAUCUUAGGUAUAACAGAUACCCCUAUUAGUAGUUCUUCAGGGAGGGCUUUUUUACUCCACUUUUACAGAUGUGGCCUCUCAGGAACUUACCCAAAGCCUUUCAGUUUGGAGCUGCUGAAGCCUAGGUUCGAACCCAACCUG